ensembl:snoRNA
UGGAACAAUGAUGAGACUGUGUCAUGAACCAAGGUUAUGAUUAGUCUAGUUCUGUGCACCUGAGCUCCAUU